AUGGUCAGCUGGUUAAAGUUCU
rnacentral:miRNA from 1 species